ACUUGCUUUGGAAACCCUUCCCAGCCUGAAAAUGGGAGCACUUCCCAAAGCUCCAGGACUGAGGCAGUCAGCUUCUCACAUUUUGAACUCCAAAGAACAGCAAAGAAACCGAGGCACCUGCUCUGGUGUGGAGCAAGGAGUGGAAUGUGCACCCCACAGCCUGCAGGAAUUAUUCAUCCUCUGGAAUUUGGUGUGAAUUCUGCAGCCAUUCCCGUGGUUUUGCCUUGGAGAUUCUGAACCAGGGAAUCCCAGGUGGAAGCAGCUGAAGUGAAGGAGCAGCUCGGACUGAUUUGAAUUGCUCAGGACAGGGCAGGAGACAGCAUCUUCCCAGUGGGGUUAUUUACCAGCUCCACUCCAGGAUUUCUUUAGAAAUAUGAACAUUUAGCAAGGCCUUGGCAAUGACAAACGGGACUGAAGCUCAUCCAGGCGUUUGCAUCCCAAUAUUCCCCAAACUGUGAGCAUUGUUUAUAUUUCUACAUGUUUCUGUCUCCCUGGUGUUCCUCCCCAGAAGAAGGGGCUGAUCUGGGGUGUUCCAGAACAAUUCUCUGAUGUGUUUUCAGCUGUUCAAGUUCGGUUUUCCUCAGGGCUCUGGCAGGUGUGGGGAUGAGCACUGAGCACUGACCUCACUGCAAUCUCUGCCUUUACCAAGAGCCAAAUUAAUGCUGUUGGUUUUAUAACCCUGCCUUUGUCUACAUGUUGUUAAUUACCCUGAUUAUCUUGUCUUGUGCUGUUUAAUUGUUGGUAGCUGAAAGGCCAUUUUAUCCUGUCUCAGGCUUUCCUAGCUCAUCCUCGGUGGCUGCAAAGAAGUUUUGAAUUAUUUUGGGGCAAUCUGGGCACUUUUUUAGUCUGAGUUUCACGUUGGAGUAGUUCAGAAUUCCUCGGAUCUGAAGGAAAGUCUGAGCAAGGUGGAGAAGAACUGGAGAGACAGGACAAGGGGGAAAGGCUUCAAACGGGCAGAAAGGAAAUUUGGGUUAAAUAUGGAAGAAAUUCUUCCUUGCGAGGGUGGGGAGGGGCUGGGAUGGAAUUCCAGAGCAGCUGUGGCUGCCCCUGGAUCCAUGGAAGUGUCCAAGGCCGGGCUGGACAGGGAUUGGAGCAGCCUGGGACAUUGGAAAGUGUCCCUGCUUUGGCAGGGGUGGAAAAAAAUAAUGUUUAAGGUCCCUUCCAACCCAAAUAAUUCUGUGAUUCCAUCAUCCUUUUAACAUGCAAAAAACCCACCCAAAAAAUCCCCAAAUCCCUCUAGUCUUUAUUGUUGAAUGUCCAUUUAGAAAGCACUCUGUGACCUGGAAAUGCAGGUCUUUAAAAAAGGCCCUAAAUCCAAGAAUAACUUAUAAUAAACUUUCUUCUGGCAGAACAUUCCUACAAUAAUUUUCCUUAAUCCCAUAUUGGAAGGGCUUCCUGCCUUUGGGAUUUCUCCUGUGGGACGACACUCUUCCUCUUGAAAAAGCUGAUUUUGUUGAAUUUAUUUUUUUUUUUUUUCGCGAUCAAAACAACUUUUCGAUGUUUUCUUGCUGCAUUAACAGGCUGAAAUUGCUACUAAAAGUAUCAGCCAAUUAGCAACUCUUUAAUCUCCUGCAUUGUUUGUCACCACGGUGUGACAAAGUGACAGCCUGCCACGCUAAUUAGCUGCCUUCUGCCAGGGGAAAAUUGCUCCUGUUUGACAAAUAAUUCAAGUUAGAGAAGGACGAGGAAGUCUGAAAACGAAGUUAUUCAUGCAAAGACACAUCAGAGAGCACCCAGGGCUCAGGUAAUUGGUGAGGGCAGGGAGGACCUCUCACCUUUCUGUAAUAAAUCAGAAAAUUAUUGAGUGGAAGGGAUGAGGUGAUUUUUAACAGCCUGAAAUGGGCGCAGGGUUCAGAGUGUUGUUUCAGGAGCUUCACUGGUGCUGGGGAAAGUUGGGUUUCUGGAGGUUGUUGGUGUUUAUUCAGCUUGAAAAGCAUCUAAGCUGCUCCUGACCUCCCUUGUGAGCCUUUUAAAGGCGACUUUUCACCUCAGAAUUCAGUGUUCCCAUGGAAAACCCCAGGCCUGGAAAGAAGAAAGAUUCAGGAGAAUCAGAAAGACAAAGGAGAGCUCCAGAGCUGCCCUCCAAAAAUGCUUUUGAGAGCUUCAGAUGAGCCUAAAUCAGUUUGUGUCCGUGAGAAAACUGCUUUGGAUCCAGUCACAGCCUGGAUGAGGAGUCCUUGGAGCAUUUGUUUUGGGGAAAUGAGAAGUUCAAGGAGCUGAGCAAAAAUAUUCAACAGGAAUCAGAAAGCAAAUAAUGAUUUUUGUUGCUUGUAUGGCAAUCAAAUUGCUUUUGUCAUCUUUUUUUGAUAUAAAAUACAGCCAAUUUAAUGAAGUUUGGUGUUUCCAGCUUUUUUCAAACCUGAACUCCUUGCAAAAAAAAAAAUUAGAAAUGAAUUGAGAAGAAAAUAAUCCUUAAAUAUCUGCAAAGCUGACUCAGAUUUCAUUUUAGGUGCUGGAAUUUGAACUAAAAAAGUGGCAAAUAAAACAAUUCUGCUUUUGGAUACUUGGUAAAAGAGGAGGAGUUGAUUUUUGUGGAUUGAGCUCCUAUGGGAGGGCAGGUGAAAGCUGCAUUCUCAGCUGAGCACUCCACGCUGGAAAAUUUGGGAAAAGCAGGAAUGCCUUCCCAGCAGAGCAACACAAAUGAUGGAAGGACCAAAGAGAUUGAUGGCUUGGUGGGUGAAGAAUUAUUAAGGGAGCUUAAAUUUGAAUUUCUUGCCCAUGUAAAUGAUGGAUCCCAGACAUGGCAGGAGCUCUCCCGAGUCAGUGAUGGAUUGGGAGGAGUGAAGGAAGAGGAUGAAAAGAGUGAUGAUGUGCUGGGGCAGCAGGAGCAGCGAUUCUGGUGAGAUCAGCAGGACGGGAGCUGCAUCUCCUCUCUGGCAGCUGAUGCUCACAAAAAAACCAAGGCAAAGAAAUCUCUGGUGGAUAAUUAUGGCUUUAUCUGUCUGAGGAGAGGAGUUUACGGCUUUACGUCUGUGGAUGGGAAGGUGGAAAGUAAUUAGGACAAAAGGAACUUUUAGAAAAGGUUUGCUAAUUUGUAUGGCUGCAGAAUCCUUGGUUAAUUCACCACAUCUAACUGGGAAGUUUUUGGCGUCCAGCUCUGACAGAUUUGGGAUAGAGCUGCUGGAAAUUUGCUGUAAAACAUUCCAGUACACACAGUGAAACCACAGCCUGGUUGGGAUUUGCACCAAAAUGGAUUCUGGGCGCCAAAAUUUCAGUUUCUCUCUCUGAAUUGUGACAUUUGGGUCCUUAGAAGUCAACAUCAAAACUCCCAGGGAUACCACUGAGGGCUGUAUUCCCUGAAAAAUAAAAUGGGAAUUUGCCCAAGUGGAAAGUGAGCAGAAGCCCAAGAAGGAACGUGGGAAAUUGAUUUUUUUUCCAGCUAAUAACCUGAGAAACAUUUAUAAAGUAUUAUAACCAAGAAAUAAGUUAACUUCUGAUGAAACAGCAUUAAGUUUUACAUCUUUUGUUUCUCACUAUUCAUCGAGACUGAUAAUAAAAUAAAAUCUUUUAAAACACCUCUCAGAUACUCUGUCUCUAUAAAAACUAAGAAAAGCAUCAAAGGAGCUCCAGGAUUUUUCCCUGCCAGCUGUGAGGAUCUGACAGAAGGUGUUGGGCACAAGUGUCCUUGAGCUCAGAGACAAAAACCUCUGAUGUAUUUAUGACUUUUUAAUUAUUUAAUGAGUUCUGCUGCAGUCCUCGCCCUCUUUCCUGAUGAGCCCUGUAGGGUCAAGGCCUCCUGGAGAAACACCUGGGGAUGCUGGAAUUUCACCCAGUGCCAAUCCCAAACCCUGUAAAUUGGAUUAAUUACUGGAAGAACCCACAACCAUCUCCAGUUUUAGCUGGAGCCACGCUCAAACGAAAUUGUUUUCUUUCCUAUUUCCCUUUCCCUGCGGGCAAUCUGCGAGUGCAUAAUGUGAAAUAUCAGCGGGAACCGCUCCUCAGAGUGAUUCAGGAUUCUUUUCCAGCUCCUGCUCCCAAUUUUCAGUCAAUCACAGACCAUAAUAGGCUAUUUGUCACCACGGAUAUCUGUAUACAUAAAAGAUAAGUAGGUGCUGAAUAUCUGCUUUUACCAAUGUUCCGAGCACUGCCAGUGAUAUAUUAUUUUCUUUUAUCUCCUCUGUGUAUCUCUGUAGCAG